GCCCACAUAGCUCAGCUGGCAGAGCACUUCCUUGGUAAGGAAGAGGUCUUGGGUUCAAGUCCCAAUGUGGGCUCCA
rnacentral:tRNA from 1 species